rnacentral:rRNA from 1 species
CAUGCAAGUCGAGCGAACCCUUCGGGGUUAGCGGCGGACGGGUGAGUAACGCGUGGGAAUGUGCCCUUCUCUACGGAAUAGUCCUGGGAAACUGGGGGUAAUACCGUAUACGCCCUUUGGGGGAAAGAUUUAUCGGAGAAGGAUCAGCCCGCGUUGGAUUAGGUAGUUGGUGGGGUAAUGGCCUACCAAGCCUACGAUCCAUAGCUGGUUUGAGAGGAUGAUCAGCCACACUGGGACUGAGACACGGCCCAGACUCCUACGGGAGGCAGCAGUGGGGAAUCUUAGACAAUGGGGGCAACCCUGAUCUAGCCAUGCCGCGUGAGUGAUGAAGGCCUUAGGGUUGUAAAGCUCUUUCAGCUGGGAAGAUAAUGACGGUACCAGCAGAAGAAGCCCCGGCUAACUCCGUGCCAGCAGCCGCGGUAAUACGGAGGGGGCUAGCGUUGUUCGGAAUUACUGGGCGUAAAGCGCACGUAGGCGGACUGGAAAGUUGGGGGUGAAAUCCCGGGGCUCAACCCCGGAACUGCCUUCAAAACUAUCAGUCUUGAGUUCGAGAGAGGUGAGUGGAAUUCCGAGUGUAGAGGUGAAAUUCGUAGAUAUUCGGAGGAACACCAGUGGCGAAGGCGGCUCACUGGCUCGAUA